UUAUGUUAGGCGCCUUACCUUAGGGUUUCCUCUGGGGUAAGUGAUUGCUUCUACACUGUGAAAAUUUGGCUGAGAGACUCAGACUGGUCAUGGGUAGACCUAUCUGGGGUUUGAUCGAUGCCACUCCUGGUUUCAGGAGCACCCUUCAUAAUAAACCUAGAAAUUCAGUAUUAUAAAGUUUAAUAAAAAACAACUUUUAACAAUGGAUCUCUUGGUUCUCGCAUCGAUGAAGAACGUAGCAAAGUGCGAUAACUAGUGUGAAUUGCAUAUUCAGUGAAUCAUCGAGUCUUUGAACGCAGCUUGCACUCUAUGGUUUUUCUAUAGAGUACGCCUGCUUCAGUAUCAUCACAAACCCACACAUAACAUUUGUUUAUGUGGUAAUGGGUCGCAUCGCUGUUUUAUUACAGUGAGCACCUAAAAUGUGUGUGAUUUUCUGUCUGGCUUGCUAGGCAGGAAUAUUACGCUGGUCUCAGGAUCUUUUUCUUUGGUUCGCCCAGGAAGUAAAGUACAAGAGUAUAAUCCAGCAACUUUCAAACUAUGAUCUGAAGUCAGGUGGGAUUACCCGCUGAACUUAAGCAUAUCAAUAAGCGGAGGAA
rnacentral:rRNA from 1 species